rnacentral:rRNA from 1 species
AACGCGAAGAACCUUACCCAGGCUUGACAUCCUGUGAAGGUCUCCGAAAGGAGACUGUGCCUUCGGGAAUACAGUGACAGGUGAUGCAUGGCCGUCGUCAGCUCGUGUCGUGAGAUGUUUGGUUAAGUCCAUCAACGAGCGCAACCCUUGUAGUUAGUUGUAUUUUUCUAACUAGACUGCCCUGGUAACAGGGAGGAAGGAGGGGAUGAUGUCAGGUCAGUAUUUCCCUUACGUCUGGGGCUACAAACACGCUACAAUGGCCGGUACAAAGGGCAGCCAAGUCGCGAGACGGAGCAAACCCCAUCAAAGCCGGUCUCAGUUCGGAUUGCAGGCUGAAACUCGCCUACAUGAAGCUGGAAUCGCUAGUAACGGUAGGUCAGCACACUACCGUGAAUACGUUCCCGGGCCUUGUA